rnacentral:siRNA from 1 species
UGAUAUGGUUGAGCUCAGAAGAC